rnacentral:lncRNA from 1 species
UCAAGCAAAUUCAUCAACUUCUACUACAAUUUAUAAUCUAUAAUCCAAAACAGAAUCUUCAGCCAAAACUUAAAAGUUAAUUUCCACAGUAAUAGCAAACAAUCCCAUGAUGCCAAAAUUUAAAAAGAAAAUAUCGUGAAAAAAAUUAUUAAAGAUAAAAAAUAUUUAGCUAAAAAAAAUUAGUUAUGUUAGCCUUCUAUUUAGGCUCCGUUUGCUACCAGCUUUUCGACUGGCUUUUUUUAAGCUUAUAAGUAAAAAAUUCAGUUAGAGUUGACUUUUUUAUUUUUUUAUUUAUUUUUAGCGAAAGUAAAGCCAAAAAAAUAAAAGAGCCCAAAAAUCUUGUCAUUUUUGAUAGCAAGCUUAAAAAAAGUUUGAUUUUUAAGUAUUACCAAACGGAGCCUUAAUCUCAAAUUGGUGGAUUUAUUAAUUCAAACACAAGAACAAUCAUUUAACAAGAAGGUUUCCUUUGGUGAAGACUCACAUAUACAAAUGUUACUGCAAAUAAUUAACAAAAAAAUUGAAAAAUAGAUUUUUAGAAAAAAUUAAAGCUCCCUUCAUCUUAUUAUGAUGAUUUUUUUUCUUUUUAAAAGUUGAGAAUCAUCCAUCUAAUCUUUGUCGAUAAUUUACGUAGUUCGUGGAAAUCUCUGCAACUAGGUUUUUGUGAUUGCGAAAAAAAUGAAUAAAAUAGCCCUCGAGCCAGAUGGAUACACAGCAAGACCAAAAACUACAGAAAAUUAAUGCUCCGUUUGGAGUUAGAGAGAGAUGUAUAGAGAGAGAAAUCAAAAAGGAAACUAAUAAUAGGAAAGAAAAAUGAGAUUAUGAGAGUAGGUAGACUCUAAAAUAAAAAAUUAUUUUAUUUGGGUUUUGAAAAGAGACUAACAUAUAUUUUGUAUACAAUUUUUUUUACAAAUUUAUGUGACAAAAUAUGAGUCUUUUAAUUUUAAUUUUUCAUAAAACACCUAUUAAAAUGAAUUUUAUUUAUAAAAAUAUCACAUUUUAACAUCAUUCUUGUGAUUUUUUUUAAUGUAUGAAUUAUUUAUAAGAAUCUAUUUUUUUGAAAGAAAAUAAAUUUAAAAUGAGAAAAAAAUAUUUUAUUUUAUUUCAAAUUAAAAGAAAGAGAAUUGUAAGAAAACUUAAAUAAACAAAGGAGAAAAUAAAAAGAAGAAAAAGAAGAAAAAUUAUAAAAAAAAAAGUUUUCACUUAAACCAAACUAGGAAAAAUGAUGAAGGAAAAAAAAUAUAUUUUUUAUUUAUUUUAUUUUAAAAUAAAAUAGGUUUGAAACAAAGCUUUAAUCUUGAAAAAAAAUAAUUUGAUUGAAAAUUUAUAAGCAAAAUGCAAGUUUUAGGUAAAAUGGGACAAAAAAUCACAAAAAAAACUCCCGUAUACUCAUCCCAAAUAAAUUUAUCCGAAAUAUUUUUUUAGCAAAAAAAAAAAAAUAUCUCAAACGGGACCUUAUUUUAAUUAUAAAUAAUAAAAUAUAAUCUCAUUAACGAUUUGGGUCUUGAUUGAGAUUUUUUUUUUUAUUAUGUGUCUUUAAUAAUUUUUAAAUUUUUGGUUAAAAUUUUUUACUAUUCUAAUUCGUCUUGAUUUGAGAAAUUAAAAAAGAAUUUUUAAGAGUUAAGAGUCAAGACAUGAUUUUUUUUCUAAAACAAAUAAAAAACUUGAACUUUUUACCUUCAACUGUAUUUUGGGGCUCAAUGGGGCUCAAGAUAAAUGAAAUAGGAUUACGCUUCAAUAAAUACCAUAUUGAAAAUAAUAAAAUUUUAAUUGAACGGUAAAAAAAAGUUUACUAAAAAAAACAUAAUCCAAACUAAGCCGUAGUUGUUUAGCUUCAAAUAAUCACUUUUAUAAGUUGUCAUCAAAAUCAUUAAAAUAUAGAUAUAUUAAGAAGCAAAACUACCGUUAUAUUAUGUCAGCUAAGAAUUCAUCGUGAAACUUGAGAAACAAAUUUCAAAAUUCUAGCUUUAUUUGGAAUUAGUUGUAGAGAGGGAAAAAAAAGAAAAUAAAAUUAAGAAAAGGAAAGUAGACUCUAUAAUAGUAUAAUAAUUAUUUUUAUUUACUUGGUUUGGAAAAGAGAUUAACAUAAAUUUUAUGUAUAUUUUUUUGUGCGAAUUGAUGUGGGAAAAUACGAUUUUUUUAUAUAAAACGUCUAUCAAAUUGACUUUUAUUUAUUAAAAUAUCAUAUUUUAACAUUAUCCUUGUGAUGUUUUUAUGUUUGAAUUAUGUAUAAGAAUAUAUUAUUUUUUAAAAUAAAAUAAAAUAAGAAAAAUAAGAUUUUUUUUUCUUAUUUGAAUUUAGAAGAGAGAAAUUUGUAAGACAACUUAAAUAAACAAAAAAGAAUAAAAAAUAAUAUAAAGAGGGAAGAUUGUGAAAAAUAAAUUUUCACUUGCUUUUGAUCUGAAGACUAUAAAUCAAACUAGGGAAAAUGAUAAAGGAAAAAAAUAUUAUUUUUCAUUUAUAUUUUUGGGUUUCAAACAAUUGGAGAAAAGUCCAAAAAACA